rnacentral:lncRNA from 1 species
GCUGCCCGUGUGUGUAGCCUUUGGGAUUCAAGAAGAGGUCUCUAUGUUCCUAAGGGAAUCGACUUGCGGAAAAGUUGGAGGACAGGAUGCCGGAGAGGGGAAGAUAGUGAAGGUUAUGCUUUAUUAGUUUGAUAAUCAGUUGUAUCGUUGGGGAUGUUUUUUUUUUUUUCAUCUCCCAAGAAUUAUUUCCCCAUUUAGUCUUCUCAAGAUAUCCAACAUGCAAGCUAUGAUAGGUUUGACAUACAAACAAGAAAUUCAAAAGGUGAUUA